CACACAACUCACACGCACACCAACUCACACAUACACAACUCACGCACCAACUCACAUAUGCGCUCACACAUACACAACUCACACACCAACUCACAUAUGUGCCAACUCACAUGCCAACUCACACACGGACUCACACACAUACCAACUCACAUGCACACCAACUCACAUAUACACAACUCACACACCAACUCACACAUACAUAAUUCACACCAACUCACAUGCCAACUCACACAACUCAACUCACAUGUACACCAAUACACACACAUACACAAGUCACUUACACACCAACUCACUAACACACCAACUCAUACACACCAACUAAUACACACCAACUCACACAUAUACAACUCACAUCAACUCGCAUACACACCAACUCACACAUCGACUCACAUACACACCAACUCACACGCAUACCAACUCACACAUACACAAGUCACUCACACCAACACACACCAACUCACACAUACACAACUCACACUAACACACACCAACUCAUACACAACACAACACACACACCAACUCACACAUACAACUCACACUAACACACACCAACUCGCAUGCACACCAACACACACAACUCAACUACACACCAACUCACACACCCUUACACAUACACAACUCACACACCAACUCACACCCUCACCCCAACACAACCUCACACAUAUACAACACACACACCAACUCACACCCACACACUUUCACACACACCCUCACACACCCUCACACACACCAACUCCCAUGCACACAUCCUCCCUCAUACACAACUCACAGACCCAUGCACACACCCUCGCCCCCACCCAACACAACCUCACACAUACACAACUCACACACCAACUCACAUGCACACACCCACACACCAACUCACACGCACACACCCUCACUCCCAAUGCAACCUCACAACUCACACCAACUCACACACCCUCACACCAACUCACACGCCCACACCCUCACCCCAACACAACCUCACACAUACACAACUCACACACACUAAUGCACAUAUACACAUCCUCACACACAUUUACAUACACCCCUGCUCACAGACACUCUCUCUGGCUCUCUCUCACACACACACACACCCUACCCCCCACUAGGGCUCAAGGACCCCUCCAGUGUCCUCAGGGCACUGGCCCAGGGAGCAGCAAGGAGGGUGAUUCCCAAAUAGCAGCCCCCAGAGCCCCGGUUCUGCCCCCAGAGAAGCUCAAGUCCAGACACCAGAAGGACCUCCCUUCAUCCUGAAGACAUUUACAUGAGGAGAGCCACUUCCCCGAGUGACUCAACAUGCACAGAUCUGGAGGGACACACACACGCACACGCAGAGGGCUUCUCUAGACAGCUGUGUGCACCCCUCACUUCCGGCUCAGGAUUCCCAGGCUCCAGCCCGGCCCCAGCAAUCCAAGUCCUUCCCAUCUAUGCAAAGCUCAGGGGUGCCUCUGGCUUGUGGGGGCCUCAUGGAGCCAUAUCCUGUUCCCUCAUUCCAGAGGCUUUCCCUGCCUAGUGGGGCAGCUCUGGGGCCAGGAGAGCGGGGACGGCCCCAGCCUGAACCACAGGGAAGUGGAAACCCUCAGGGAAAUUCACACUCCAGCUGCCUGCCAGCCAAGGACAGCACACAUUCAUACAUGCGCACCGACACGUGUACACAGUGACACGUGUGUACAUACAGCCCCAUACUCACCCUGACACGUAGGUACACACUUGUCAGAGGCGUUCGAACCAGAGCGACUCCAUUUUGAGUGAGGGCUGGAAAACGAGGCUGGGACCCGCUGGGCUGCAUUACCAGAAAGGUGGGUAUUCCGAGCCCCUAGAGGUUUAUGGUUAAGGGAACAAAUUAAUAAUGUUUACUAAAACAGACCCGGACUUAGGACUGUCCAGAUAUCGCCAUAUCUGAAGAACAAAGGCAUUCCUAAUUUUGCUUUAAAGAUAAUAAUAUCGAUUCUUGCAAAAUAUCGUAAUUAAGAAAAUUAAUCC
rnacentral:lncRNA from 1 species